UAGGGAAUCUUCCACAAUGGGCGAAAGCCUGAUGGAGCAACACCGCGUGAGUGAAGAAGGGUUUCGGCUCGUAAAGCUCUGUUGUUAGAGAAGAACGUGCGUGAGAGCAACUGUUCACGCAGUGACGGUAUCUAACCAGAAAGUCACGGCUAACUACGUGCCAC
rnacentral:rRNA from 1 species